UGGGGAAUUUUCCGCAAUGGGGGCAGACCUGACGGAGCAACGCCGCGUGCGGGAGGAAGGCCGUUGGGUUGUAAACCGCUUUUCUCAGGGAAGAAGCGCUGACGGUACCUGAGGAAUCAGCCUCGGCUAACUCCGUGCCAGCAGCCGCGGUAAUACGGAGGAGGCAAGCGUUAUCCGGAAUCAUUGGGCGUAAAGCGUUCGCAGGCGGCGAUUCAAGUCUGCUGUCAAAGCCCGCAGCUCAACUGCGGACAGGCAGUGGAAACUGAAUCGCUAGAGUGCGGCAGGGGUAGAGGGAAUUCCCGGUGUAGCGGUGAAAUGCGUAGAUAUUGGGAAGAACACCAGUGGCGAAGGCGCUCUACUGGACCUGUACUGACACUCAGGGACGAAAGCUAGGGGAGCGAAAGGGAUUAGAUACCCGCGUAGUCC
rnacentral:rRNA from 1 species